rnacentral:tRNA from 1 species
UUAAUUUAAGUUAAAUAACAAUAACUUUUGAAGUUAUAGAAACUAAUUAAAUUUAGUAAAUUAAA